AAACCCCCCAAAUCUCUAACACUACACUCGAUCAGUACGUGUACUUCUGAGAAAAUUGGAACCCUAACUUUCUCCUCCUUGGUUGAACGAUCGUGGCCCUCCUCCUCCGCCGGCACAACUCAUGUGGGCGACCCUCUUCUCUCCUCCGGCACGGCUCAUCUCGGCGACGGCUUGCGCAACCCUCCUCUCUACGCUGCUGAGGAAGGUUUAGUCUGGGAGUACAAGGGAGAUAAAAAAAAUUAAGUUUUAUUACUCCAACAAACCUUGAGGGAAUGGGGAGAAUAAUGAUUUUCAUGAAGAAGGAGAAGAUGGAGAUGGAGAUGGAGAAGGAGAAAAGGUGAAGGAGAAGGAGGAGAAGAAGAAGAAUAUUGAUUGCUUUUGGAAUUGAUAGGUUUUUCUUAUUUUGAAAGAUUGUUUGGAACUUAGGAUGACAUCUUGAAAUUUUAUUUUGUAUCUGUUUUUGUUGAAUUUAACAUUGGCAUGAAUUGACUAGAAACUAUCAAGUUGAACAGUAUUAGGCAUUGCCAUUUUUUGUAGUAGUUUUAUUUAUUUUUUGCUCUUUGUGAUACAAUAUUUGUGUUAAUUAAGAUUUGGUCUGUUUUAUUUGAUUCA